ACGAACGCUGGCGGCAGGCUUAACACAUGCCAGUCGCGCGCCCCGCACGGGGAGCGGCCGACGGGUGAGUAACGCGUGGGAACGUACCUUUUGGUUCGGAACAACUCCGGGAAACUGGAGCUAAUACCGGAUAAGCCCUAACGGGGAAAGAUUUAUCGCCGAAAGAUCGGCCCGCGUCUGAUUAGCUAGUUGGUGAGGUAACGGCUCACCAAGGCGACGAUCAGUAGCUGGUCUGAGAGGAUGAUCAGCCACACUGGGACUGAGACACGGCCCAGACUCCUACGGGAGGCAGCAGUGGGGAAUAUUGGACAAUGGGCGCAAGCCUGAUCCAGCCAUGCCGCGUGAGUGAUGAAGGCCUUAGGGUUGUAAAGCUCUUUUGUCCGGGAAGAUAAUGACUGUACCGGAAGAAUAAGCCCCGGCUAACUUCGUG
rnacentral:rRNA from 1 species